CAUUACCGAGUGCGGGUCCUUUGGGCCCAACCUCCCAUCCGUGUCUAUUAUACCCUGUUGCUUCGGCGGGCCCGCCGCUUGUCGGCCGCCGGGGGGGCGCCUUUGCCCCCCGGGCCCGUGCCCGCCGGAGACCCCAACACGAACACUGUCUGAAAGCGUGCAGUCUGAGUUGAUUGAAUGCAAUCAGUUAAAACUUUCAACAAUGGAUCUCUUGGUUCCGGCAUCGAUGAAGAACGCAGCGAAAUGCGAUAACUAAUGUGAAUUGCAGAAUUCAGUGAAUCAUCGAGUCUUUGAACGCACAUUGCGCCCCCUGGUAUUCCGGGGGGCAUGCCUGUCCGAGCGUCAUUGCUGCCCUCAAGCCCGGCUUGUGUUGGGGUCGCCGUCCCCCUCUCCGGGGGGACGGGCCCGAAAGGCAGCGGCGGCACCGCGUCCGAUCCUCGAGCGUAUGGGGCUUUGUCACAUGCUCUGUAGGAUUGGCCGGCGCCUGCCGACGUUUUCCAACCAUUUUUUCCAGGUUGACCUCGGAUCAGGUAGGGAUACCCGCUGAACUUAAGCAUAUCAAUAAGCGGAGGAAAAGAAACCAACCGGGAUUGCCUCAGUAACGGCGAGUGAAGCGGCAAGAGCUCAAAUUUGAAAGCUGGCUCCUUCGGAGUCCGCAUUGUAAUUUGCAGA
rnacentral:rRNA from 1 species